CCCUUAGAUGUUCUGGGCCGCACGCGCGCUACACUGAUGCAUUCAACGAGUCUAAAACCUGCUCUGAUAGGGGUGGGUAAUCUUUUGAAUGUGCAUCGUGAUUGGGAUAGAUGAUUGCAAUUUUUCAUCUUCAACGAGGAAUGCCUAGUAGGCGCAAGUCAUCAGCUUGCGUCGAUUACGUCCCUGCCCUUUGUACACACCGCCCGUCGCUCCUACCGAUUGGGUGUGCUGGUGAAAUGUUCGGAUCGGCCGUUUGUCGCGGUUUCCGCGUCAUGUGGCUGAGAAGUUCAUUAAACCCUCCCACCUAGAGGAAGGAGAAGUCGUAACA
rnacentral:rRNA from 1 species